GCGGCCGUGGUCCAGCCUGGUCUAAGCGCUUGAAAGCGCUGCCAAAAGGACACGGGCCCUCCAGGCUAAUUUCGUGGAAAGCCUGUAGCGCGGGUUCGAAUCCCGCCGGCCGCA
rnacentral:tRNA from 1 species